AUCCGGUUAGCUCAGUCAGUAGAGCAACAGACUUUUAAUCUGAGGGUCAAGGGUUCAAGUCCCUUUAUCGGGCG